rnacentral:misc_RNA from 1 species
ACAAUAGCCAAAAACCGUGGGGUCAAGCUAUCAGCAUUCAAGGUCAUAAAUCAGGACCCACCAGCCCUCUCUGAUAAAUCAGUAAUUGAGGCAGUGGAAGCUGCAUCCAAAGAGGUAAACCUGACACACAAGUUGAUGAUAAGCAGAGCUUACCAUGAUUCACUGUUCAUGGCUAGGAUCUCUCCAACGGGUAUGCUAUUCAUUCCAUGUUACAAAGGAUAUAGCCAUAAACCUGAAGAAUAUGCCUCCAGUCAGGAUAUAGCAAAUGGGGUUAAAGUAUUAGCGUUGACCCUUGCCAAGUUGUCCUUGUCCUGAUGUAAAUACAGCUUUUCUGGUGAAAAUUCGCAACAAAAACAUUGAUCAAGGAAUAAAUCAGACCCAACAACAAAUGCAGACACCAACCUAUACCUCCUUGAGUGAAGGCCUGUGUUUUUAUCUUCCUUGAAGUCAACUGCGUAGAUCUUUAUAUUUGUUGCAUGUCUCAAAACAUAGUUCGUAGAGUUUGUAAUGCUAAAUUAUCAGUUGUCUACAAAAGAUCUUUUAGAAAGGAAUAAGCAUCCAUUUAUGUCUUUCUUUCCCAAAGAUUUUUUGUAGACAACUGAUAAUUUAGCAUUA